rnacentral:rRNA from 1 species
UGGGGAAUAUUGCACAAUGGGCGAAAGCCUGAUCCAGCGACGCCGCGUGAGGGAUGACGGCCUUCGGGUUGUAAACCUCUUUCAGUAGGGACGAAGCGCAAGUGACGGUACCUGCAGAAGAAGCACCGGCUAACUACGUGCCAGCAGCCGCGGUAAUACGUAGGGUGCGAGCGUUGUCCGGAAUUACUGGGCGUAAAGAGCUCGUAGGCGGUUUGUCACGUCGUCUGUGAAAUCCUAGGGCUUAACCCUGGACGUGCAGGCGAUACGGGCUGACUUGAGUACUACAGGGGAGACUGGAAUUUCUGGUGUAGCGGUGGAAUGCACAGAUAUCAGGAAGAACACCGAUGGCGAAGGCAGGUCUCUGGGUAGUAACUGACGCUGAGGAGCGAAAGCAUGGGUAGCGAACAGG